GGACUUACUGUUGGUGCUAUUAUAAUUCUAACCAAAGUUUUCAGGAACUAUGGAAGAUCAGGAGACUGAUGAUGCCUCAGAAGUAUGACCUCGUAAAUGACAAAAGGACACACAUUUAUGACAUUGACAGUUUUGCUUAUGAUGCUGGUAGCCACUGGCUACCUGACUUAGCCAAAGAAGAGGUAAGAAGAAAGUGCAUACAAGUACACAGAAUAUCCUAGCUUUUGUAAGUUUCUGGAAGCACGGACACAAUACAUGCAGUAGUGCUCUUCAUCUUGCACGUUAUCAGUGUCGUUAAGGUGCGCACGAAUGUCAAUAAAGCGAGAAGAAACUAAUCUGUCCUGGAAUCGCAUUCUCAACGUUUCUAAGCCUCUGGAAAAUAGAACAACUCACAAGACUGAGAGUGAUUAUGUGUCUAAAAGUGUAGAUAUUUGUGAGCAUGAAGAAAAGGAAAUAAGUUAUUUUUUCCCCAUUAGAUUUGUAACGGUAUUUUUACUUACAAAAGAAAUAAAAAUUAAAAACAUUAACUGGAUAUUGAAAACAAAUGAAAAAAACAUUGCCCAGUCUCUUCUGAGGAAAAUUGCCAAAGAGAGAUGAACCACAUUAUAAAAUAACCCUUUUGACCCUCAGGCAUUUUUAUCUUUCCUUAUUCCACUCAACUGAGCUUGAAUGGGUUGGCAAAUGUUUUAAAUGAAAAACAUGUUAAUGACUCAGAGUGUCAAGUUUCUUGGAUUAGUUGGUGGGAAAGGAGAAGUAUAGAAGGAAGAAAUAAUUAUUUCUUUCCCGUAUAAGUACAGGUAAUUAACAAGAAUUUAGCUCCUUUUAAGGUGGAUCAGUGACAAUUUUAAUUUUAUUCUUAGGACAGUCUUUUUUUUUUUUUGUAAAAGGAUCCUGUGAAAGGAUGAAAGGAUGGAAGGUGUCUUUUUAUUAACUUAAUGUCUUUAAAAGUAUCCAGAGAUAUUAUAAUAUUAACAUGAAAAAGAUUCUAUAUUUCUGAAGUGAUUCUAAAUUAUACAUCUUAUUUUUUGUGAUAGUAAGAUUAUUUAUAUUAGUGAACACACUGAUUUUACAUGUAUAACAAAAAAAGUUCAAGAAGAUAUGUAAAGAAAAAUUUAUUUUCCCUAAAUGAAAUAAAUAAUUGAUCACA